AAUGAACGCUGGCGGCAUGCUUUACACAUGCAAGUCGAACGGUAACAGGCCGCAAGGUGCUGACGAGUGGCGAACGGGUGAGUAAUGCAUCGGAACGUGCCCAGUCGUGGGGGAUAACGCAGCGAAAGCUGUGCUAAUACCGCAUACGAUCUGUGGAUGAAAGCGGGGGACCUUCGGGCCUCGCGCGAUUGGAGCGGCCGAUGUCAGAUUAGGUAGUUGGUGGGGUAAAGGCUCACCAAGCCGACGAUCUGUAGCUGGUCUGAGAGGACGACCAGCCACACUGGGACUGAGACACGGCCCAGACUCCUACGGGAGGCAGCAGUGGGGAAUUUUGGACAAUGGGCGCAAGCCUGAUCCAGCAAUGCCGCGUGCAGGAAGAAGGCCUUCGGGUUGUAAACUGCUUUUGUACGGAGCGAAAAGGCUCCCUCUAAUACAGGGGGCUCAUGACGGUACCGUAAGAAUAAGCACCGGCUAACUACGUGCCAGCCGCCGCAGUAAUAC
rnacentral:rRNA from 1 species